CUAACAAUCCCUUGGCACCUUGUGGCACCUUGUAGAGGACUGCUCUUAAAGAUCUGGCAGUCCUAAGCAGAGAAAAACACAAACAUGACCAGGACAUACCAUAACAGCGUUCUGCAAGGUUUUGUGACCUUCACAGUCUCAAUAGACUCAAUAGGAGAUCAUUUAAGGAUGUUUUAUAGAAGAUUAACGAGAACAACAUUCAAGCACAAAGAUAUUGUUAUUAUAUUUUGGUCAACAAUAGAAAAAAAACCCCAUUUACCUGCAAAGAGAUACAGAUGCUUAUGUACUCAAACGCACAUUUGCUGAAGUAAACUAAGCAAGUUGAUUGGCACUCAAACUUGCCAACUGCUAAAGGAGCUCAACCUCAAAAUAUUAAGCCAUACCACAGCUGUGUGAAUACAUGAAUUGGUUCCACUUUGAAAAUUUCAUUUGCUACUAUGCAAUACUAAUGCAUCUUGUAAGAGGUUUAAGGAUUUCUUCAGAAUCACUUCCUUUUCACCAGUGUUACCACACUACUAUAUUUAACAGAGACAUUUACAUGCUUUGCAUUUUAAGUGCCUUGGAAAUCCAAGCACAGAGCCUGCACAUUUCCACCGCACCAUCAGAUGUAAUGAGUUAUGGUACUAUCGGCAUGUUGAUAAGCUAUAGCCCAAAGAAGAACAAGAAGGAAGUAUAAAAAAUAUGGCCAGAGGAUGGGAUAAAAUUAUCAGCUAGUGUGUUUUCCUGUUUGGUUUUAAUCUACAUUUAAUUAAAUUCUUAUCUUCUGUGUA